GACGAACGCUGGCGGCGUGCCUAAUACAUGCAAGUAGAACGCUGAAGGAGGAGCUUGCUUCUCUGGAUGAGUUGCGAACGGGUGAGUAACGCGUAGGUAACCUGCCUGGUAGCGGGGGAUAACUAUUGGAAACGAUAGCUAAUACCGCAUAAGAGUAGAUGUCGCAUGACAUUUGCUUAAAAGGUGCAAUUGCAUCACUACCAGAUGGACCUGCGUUGUAUUAGCUAGUUUGUGAGGUAACGGCUCACCAAGGCAACGAUACAUAGCCGACCUGAGAGGGUGAUCGGCCACACUGGGACUGGGACACGGCCCAGACUCCUACUGGAGGCAGCAGUAGGGAAUCUUCGGCAAUAGACGGAAGUCUGACCGAGCAACGCCGCGUGAGUGAAGAAGGUUUUCGGAUCGUAAAGCUCUGUUGUAAGAGAAGAACGAGUGUGAGAGUGGAAAGUUCACACUGUGACGGUAUCUUACCAGAAAGGGACGGCUAACUACGUG
rnacentral:rRNA from 1 species